CAAAAAAUCUACAACUAAACACUUAGUGUAAGUAGGGUUUCUAAAAAGAGAUAUUCUUUCCCCUCUAUACUGUAAUUCAUACAUCCAUGACUCUUUUCUGAUGGCUUUGAUAGACAUAGCUAUUUGAGGUCUACAUUGAGUGGAUUACCUACUGCUAAAGCAAUGGGAAAAAGUGCAUCUUUUGCAAAAAAAUUUAGAGGGAAAUCUAGAAAGAAAAUCCAUGUUACUGCAAUUGUAGUUUUCACGUCAGGAUCAAACCAUGGAUCCCACUUUGGCAUCCUCAUCUACCAAUAUCUCCCAUUUGUACUAAUAUAGAUAGCUGCUGUAGAUAAUAAUUGAAUGUAAUCUUCUAAUGCUUAUAACAUUAUCAAUACAUCUCUCACAUCCUAUA